AGGUUCUUGCAACAAGACAGCCCUUUCCAGCAGCUCCUCUACUGAAAGUAGUGAAAGAAGUUAUACAACAAUCAAGACUUCUGCAAAACUAGAGGUUCUUUUUGGCUGGAACCACAAGGGAGUGAAGAAGCUCAACUCAGAGCAAAGCAUUUUGGCAGCAUCAGCAUAAAAUCCAAAUAUACCUUCUAACUUGCCAUUCUAGGUUUUAGAAAAAGCAUCUGGCAAUAAAUCUUACCUGUAUUGAAUGGGAAUUUUGUUGUGCCUGCUCUGCUUACACCAAGGGGCACAAUGUUAAAGGUUGGUGAGGAAACAGAAGAAAUCUGCACCUGACCAGCAUUAUAUCUUGAUUUCUAAAUUUGGAGAAGGAUUAAUUUAUGUUUUAGUUGAAAACACCAGUUACUGCCAAUGGCUCAAAGCAAUGGUAACCUGACACAUUACAAAAGUCUCCGUUUCUGUCAGGAGGGACACCAAAGAAAGCCUCUGCAUUUGGGUUUUUGGAAAAUGCAUAACUUAUGCUGUAGCAUCCUGAAGAAAUCUACAUCACUCACCAUCAUUUUUUUCUGCUUUCCAAAUGUCUGGCACCACAGACCUUCAAGGAAGACCAGAGCACUUCCAAGAUGUCAUCUAAGCAGAGAGGAGCUGACCAGAAUAUAAUUGUAUAAGGAAUGCUCACAAUAAACCAGAGUUCUUAUCCUGAGCUGUAACUGAU
rnacentral:lncRNA from 1 species